CUGCUGGUAAAGGUCAUUACGUAUUACUUUACUUACCGGAGGAAAAGAAACCAACAGGGAUUGCCCUAGUAACGGCGAGUGAAGCGGCAACAGCUCAAAUUUGAAAUCUGGCCUUCGGGUCCGAGUUGUAAUUUGUAGAGGAUGCUUUUGGUGCGGUGCCUUCCGAGUUCCCUGGAACGGGACGCCAUAGAGGGUGAGAGCCCCGUCUGGUUGGAUACCAAUCCUCUGUAAAGCUCCUUCGACGAGUCGAGUAGUUUGGGAAUGCUGCUCUAAAUGGGAGGUAUAUGUCUUCUAAAGCUAAAUACCGGCCAGAGACCGAUAGCGCACAAGUAGAGUGAUCGAAAGAUGAAAAGCACUUUGAAAAGAGGGUUAAACAGUACGUGAAAUUGUUGAAAGGGAAGCGCUUGUGACCAGACUUGGGCAUGGUUAAUCAUCCAGCGUUCUCGCUGGUGCACUUGGCCUGCCCAGGCCAGCAUCAGUUCGGUGCGGGGGAUAAAGGCUUCGGGAAUGUGGCUCCUCCGGGAGUGUUAUAGCCCGUUGUGCAAUACCCUGCGCUGGACUGAGGUUCGCGCAUCUGCAUGGAUGCUGGCGUAAUGGUCAUUAGCGACCCGUCUUGAAACACGGACCAAGGAGUCGUCCUCGUAUGCGAGUGUUCGGGUGUUAAACCCCUACGCGUAAUGAAAGUGAACGCAGGUGAGAGCUUCGGCGCAUCAUCGACCGAUCCUGAUGUUCUCGGAUGGAUUUGAGUAAGAGCAUACGGGGCCGGACCCGAAAGAAGGUGAACUAUGCCUGUAUAGGGUGAAGCCAGAGGAAACUCUGGUGGAGGCUCGCAGCGGUUCUGACGUGCAAAUCGAUCGUCAAAUAUGGGCAUGGGGGCGAAAGACUAAUCGAACCUUCUAGUAGCUGGUUUCCGCCGAAGUUUCCCUCAGGAUAGCAGUGUUGAACUCAGUUUUAUGAGGUAAAGCGAAUGAUUAGGGACUCGGGGG
rnacentral:rRNA from 1 species